AGGAGAUUCGAUGGGACUGCAAGUUGGCUAAACUCUCCCAUGGAAACCCGCUCACCCGAAAGGCCACCAAAACCAGAGAAAAGGCGUAGCAUCUGGAGCAGGUUUUCCAG